rnacentral:rRNA from 1 species
GGUUAAGCGACUAAGCGUACACGGUGGAUGCCCUGGCAGUCAGAGGCGAUGAAGGACGUGCUAAUCUGCGAUAAGCGUCGGUAAGGUGAUAUGAACCGUUAUAACCGGCGAUUUCCGAAUGGGGAAACCCAGUGUGAUUCGUCACACUAUCAUUAACUGAAUCCAUAGGU